GACGAACGCUGGCGGCGUGCUUAACACAUGCAAGUCGAACGGAAAGGCCCUGCUUUUGUGGGGUGCUCGAGUGGCGAACGGGUGAGUAACACGUGAGUAACCUGCCCUUGACUUUGGGAUAACUUCAGGAAACUGGGGCUAAUACCGGAUAGGAGCUCCUGCUGCAUGGUGGGGGUUGGUUAGUUUCGGCGGUUGGGGAUGGAAUCGCGGCGUAUCAGCUUGUUGAUGGGGUAGUGUCUUACCAAGGCUUUGACGGGUAGCCGGCCUGGACGGAGGACCGGCCAAAUUGGAACGGAAAUGCGACCCAGACCCCUACGGGAGGCAGCAGAGGAGAAUAGAGAACAGUGGACGGAAGCCAGAUGCAGUAAAGCAACGUGCGGGAUGACGGGCUUCGGGUUGUAUUCCACUGACGCCUGUGACGAAGCGUGAGUGACGGUAAUGGGUAAAGAAGCACCGGCUAACUACGUG
rnacentral:rRNA from 1 species